rnacentral:miRNA from 1 species
AGGCAUAGGCAAACUCGGCCCUCCAGAUGUUUUUGGACUACAACUCCCAUUAUCCCUAGCUAACAGGACCAGUGGUCAGGGGGUGAUGGGAGUUGUAGUACAAAAACAUCUGGAGGGCUGAGUUUGCCUAUGCCU